rnacentral:tRNA from 1 species
GGAGAAGUGGCUGAGUGGUUGAAAGCGAUGGAUUGCUAAUCCAUUAUAGGAAAUUUUUUCUAUCAAGGGUUCGAAUCCCUUUUUCUCCG